rnacentral:rRNA from 1 species
UACGGGAGGCAGCAGUGGGGAAUAUUGGACAAUGGGCGAAAGCCUGAUCCAGCCAUGCCGCAUGAGUGAAGAAGGCCUUCGGGUUGUAAAGCUCUUUUAGUGAGAAAGAUAAUGACGGUACUCACAGAAGAAGUCCUGGCUAACUCCGUGCCAGCAGCCGCGGUAAUACGGAGAGGGCUAGCGUUAUUCAGAAUUACUGGGCGUAAAGAGCACGUAGGUGGUUUUUUAAGUCAGAUGUGAAAUCCCUGGGCUUUAACCUAGGAACUGCAUUUUGAAACUGAAAUACUAGAGUAUCGUAGAGGGAGGUAGAAUUCUAGGUGUAGCGGUGAAAUGCGUAGAUAUCUGGAGGAAUACCUGUGGCGAAAGCGGCCUCCUAAACGAAAUACUAGACACUGAGGGUGCGAAAGCGUGGGGAGCAAACAGGGAUUAGAUACC